UACAGAGGUCUCAAGCGUUGUUCGGAUUCAUUGGGCGUAAAGGGUGCGUAGGUGGCGCCGUAAGUCAGGUGUGAAAUUUCGGAGCUUAACUCCGAAACUGCAUUUGAUACUGCGGUGCUUGAGGACUGGAGAGGAGACUGGAAUUUACGGUGUAGCAGUGAAAUGCGUAGAUAUCGGGAAGAACACCCGUGGCGAAGGCGGCUCUCUGGAACGCAACUGACGCUGAGACGCGAAAGCGUGGGGAGCAAACAG
rnacentral:rRNA from 1 species